CAAAUGUCCCAGAGGCUGCCCAGAGCCAUCACCACCACCAGUAACACACAUUUACACUGAACAGUACCACUGCUUCUCUUUCUCUUAUUCACUAUCAUCCCUAACAGGAUUUUGACAACUGAUUUUCCCAUUAGAUCAUUAAGCCUGAGCUUUGACUUUACACUGACCUCAGGUUUAUAUGAACACUAUCCCUUUAUAUGUCAUUAUAUAUUUUUCUAAACCUUUUAUUUGAUUGCUCACAAAUCAGAACAAAUUAAAGUUGUCAACUUAGGAAGAGUUUGCUUUUGCAAUUGCUUCUGUGAGAAAAAGAAUGAGUUGGAAAUGUUUGAGGCAAAUGGAAGAGUAGAGAGUGGACUGCAGCACGUUCAACUCCUUUGCUGCAGGGAUGGAACAUGUUCUCUGCUGAGAGCUGUGCCAGCAGAUUUAGCUCCUCUACCAAUGGACAGAUGA
rnacentral:lncRNA from 1 species